CUUCAGCUACUUUCAUGUUAUCAAAACAAAUGCAAAGUUCACCCCUAAACGGGUACAAAAUGCUCUAAAAGGUUCUUGGGCUUUUCCUGACAUGGGAAAGACACAGCGAGCCAAGCCCUGUGUCUCACGCCCGUGUGGAGGGACGCCGGGAAGGGCUGGGGAGGUUUUUCUGGGGGGCUUGGUUGGAGCUGGGUGAAGAGCUGAAGACGUGAAUCUGUGUCACUACAUUAAGUUAGUGGGACGGUUGUAGGGUUGAGGGUCUAAGGCACAUAAAUCCAGCCAGGUCUCUCUCCUGAAGGGGCCGGAGCUUCGGCAGCACCUUGGCUGCCAGUGACGGUAGCGGAGGAGAUGCCAUCAACAGCCGAGGGAAGUUCGGGGCAGAAACAGGCAGGAGUGUUGUAGGCAAGCAUCGUCUCACCUCAGCUGCCUCCAAGGUCUGUAGGUGCCCCAUGGGAGCUAACAAACCCCCCAGGCCCCCAACCUUCUUAAUUUUGCUGAUAUAAAAAUAGGCUCAGGCUCCUUAAGGGGCUGCAGCUGAGGAGACUCCCUCAUAACUUGGCUGGCUGAACAGGUCCUGUAAAACCCACCUGCUCCCCCACAAGGGCAUUUUCCAAGUGUGGUAGAGAUAGACAUUUCUAUGUUUCUGUCUUUGCAUGUGCUCCAAUUGCCCCAUGGUUUGCAAGAAGGAAACAUGGCAGAAGGGGAUGGCUCCAGGGCAGCCAGCGCUGGCAUCCACCAGAGAUUUGGCAGAAGAAAUCCCAACAAGGAGAAGCCACAGGACUUACUGCAGAGGCCACAGACUUUCCUUCUUCAUGCUUACUAGCUUCUUAGAGGGGUCGUGCCACUGCUGACACCACAGUUUUAUUGCAAAUUGGCUCAAGUGUAUGGACUCCUGGAGCAUGAAGCCACAUCCAGCUACGUCUUAGAAAGAAACUGAAAAAUAAAGGAGAGGCAGCUGUUUCGUUCUGCAGUAUUUGUAAGGUAAUAAUAGUAACAAUAAAGGGAAGUAAAACA